GGGGCUGCAUAGCUUCGACAGUUGUACUUUGAAGUCCGUGGCAAGCAAAACGCCGCCGUAUGCGAAAUACGGCAUCAACAAAUGCUAACUCAUUUGUUAACAAAGUGAAGGCCGCCUUUAUGCCGGCCUUUGCUCCGGCCGUAGCUUAAUACGACUGGCGUCAACCUUCUCGACUCCGAUAGUGAAGAAUUGACGUAUUAUCUUCGGACCGCCUUCAGCUUCGUCGCGCAGUUGAUUGGCGGAAGUUAGCGCGAAUCGGACUGCCGGUAUUUUGUCCGCUUUCAGCCGGUGAUCUUAGACUACUAAACGGAAUAUGCUUGUAGAGGCGGAUUUCCUCGACUUCUGGACGCGGGUGCGAUUCCCGCCAGCUCCAUUA
rnacentral:tmRNA from 1 species